rnacentral:rRNA from 1 species
UACGAAGGGUGCAAGCGUUACUCGGAAUUACUGGGCGUAAAGGGUGCGUAGGUGGUUUGUUAAGUCUGCUGUGAAAUCCCCGGGCUCAACCUGGGAAUGGCAGCGGAUACUGGCAAGCUAGAGUGCGGUAGAGGGUAGUGGAAUUCCCGGUGUAGCAGUGAAAUGCGUAGAGAUCGGGAGGAACACCAGUGGCGAAGGCGGCUACCUGGACCAGCACUGACACUGAAGCACGAAAGCGUGGGGAGCAAACAGG